AGUGAACGCUGGCGGUAGGCCUAACACAUGCAAGUCGAACGGCAGCACAGUAAGAGCUUGCUCUUACGGGUGGCGAGUGGCGGACGGGUGAGGAAUACAUCGGAAUCUACUUUUUCGUGGGGGAUAACGUAGGGAAACUUACGCUAAUACCGCAUACGACCUACGGGUGAAAGCAGGGGAUCUUCGGACCUUGCGCGAUUGAAUGAGCCGAUGUCGGAUUAGCUAGUUGGCGGGGUAAAGGCCCACCAAGGCGACGAGCCGUAGCUGGUCUGAGAGGAUGCUCAGCCACACUGGACCUGAACCGCGACCCAGCCCCGACGGGGAGGCACCAGGGGGGAUUGUUGGAGAGGGGGCGCAGCCCUGCCCCGCCCAACCCGGGUGGGGGAAAGGGCCCUUGGGUUAUAAAGCCUUUUUUGUUGGGAAAAAAAGACAGGGUGUCAAACCCCUGGUUUUUUGCCGGUACCAAAAGAAUAAGCACCGGCUAACUUCGUG
rnacentral:rRNA from 1 species